CUCUAGCGGAACUGCCGGUGCUAAGCCGGAGGAAGGUGGGGAUGACGUCAAGUCCUCAUGGCCCUUACGGGUAGGGCUACACACGUGCUACAAUGGCGCUGACAGAGGGUUAAUCCCUAAAAGGCGUCUCAGUUCGGAUUGUCUUCUGCAACUCGAAGGCAUGAAGUUGGAAUCGCUAGUAAUCGUGGAUCAGCAUGCCACGGUGAAUACGUUCCCGGGCCUU
rnacentral:rRNA from 1 species